rnacentral:rRNA from 1 species
GACGAACGCUGGCGGCGUGCCUAAUACAUGCAAGUCGAACGCAGUGGGGACGGGUGAGUAACACGUGGGUAACCUCCCAUCAGAGGGGAUAACACUUGGAAACAGGUGCUAAACCGAUACUGAUGGAUGGACCCGCGGUGCAUUAGCUAGUUGGUGAGGUAACGGCUCACCAAGGCCACGAUGCAUUGCCGACCUGGGAGGGGGUGCGGCCAACCUGGGACUGAGACACGGCCCGGACUCCUCCGGGAUGCAGCGGUGGGGAAUCGUCGGCAGUGGACGAAAGUCUGACCGGGCAACGCCGCGUGAGUUAAGAGGGUUUUCGGAUCGUAAAACUCUGUUGUUAGAGAAGCGGUAUCUAACCAGAAAGCCACGGCUAACUACGUGCCAGCAGCCGCGGUAAUAC